UACGUAGGGGGCCAGCGUUGCUCGGAAUUACUGGGCGUAAAGGGUCCGUAGGCGGUGUAGCAAGUCGAUAGUGAAAUCUCUGGGCUUAACCCAGAGGCUGCUAACGAAACUGCUGUGCUUGAGUGUGGGAGAGGCGCGUGGAAUUGCAGGUGUAGCGGUGAAAUGCGUAGAUAUCUGCAGGAACACCCGUGGCGAAAGCGGCGCGCUGGACCACAACUGACGCUGAGGAACGAAAGCUAGGGGAGCAAACAG
rnacentral:rRNA from 1 species